CAAGGUUGACCUCGGAU
rnacentral:rRNA from 4 species